rnacentral:lncRNA from 1 species
GGGGGGUUGUGAAAGGUUUGCGAAUGCGGAUGAAUUAAAUCAAAAGACGGAGGCAAACAGAAAUGUAAAAAUGGAAUCAAACAAAGAAUUAAAGCGGUUGGUCAUUAACUCAAUUACUAUGCUUCCUAUCCCAGAUCAACUACAAGUACACACUACUCUAAUCCAAAUCCGACACGAAUCACCCAACUAAGCGAAGGCUAAUUCGGUCUUCAAAAUUACAGACUAAGCGAAUGCAAUGCACCAAUUUAAUCAGUCAUCCACCAUACAGUCUCAUCAACUAAGCGAAGAAUUGACACCAAUUAGGCAACUAAGCAUAUACUUAAUCGCAGGCAGACAACAGAUUAAAUAUUGAACCGAAUCAAAGCAGCAAUAUGACAAUUAAAGUUCAAAAAUCUCAAGGAAGCAAAGUAACUUUAUUAACAACCAACCCGACUAAUUUAAGCUAACAUGACAGUUAAAUUAAUACAAUCAAACAGAACAGACAACAUAGUAAACGGAAAUAUUAAAC